AGCAGCCGCGGUAAUUCCAGCUCCAAUAGCGUAUAUUAAAGUUGUUGCAGUUAAAAAGCUCGUAGUUGAAUUUCGGGAUCAGUACGUCGGUCGUGCCUUCGGUAUGCACUGGUGUCACUGGUUCCUCCCUUCUGACGAACCGUCAUGCCAUUAAUUUGGUGUGGCGGGAAAUCAGGACUGUUACUUUGAAAAAAUUAGAGUGUUUAAAGCAGGCUCACGCUUGAAUACAUUAGCAUGGAAUAAUGAAAUAGGACGUUGAUCUUAUUUUGUUGGUUUCUAGGAUUGACGUAAUGAUUAAUAGGGAUAGUUGGGGGCAUUAGUAUUCAAUUGUCAGAGGUGAAAUUCUUGGAUUUAUUGAAGACUAACUACUGCGAAAGCAUUUGCCAAGGAUGUUUUCAUUAAUCAAGAACGAAAGUUAGGGGAUCGAAGACGAUCAGAUACCGUCGUAGUCUUAACCAUAAACUAUGCUGACUAGGGAUCGGAUGAUGUUAAUUUUUUAAUGACUCAUUC
rnacentral:rRNA from 1 species